CGACCGAGAGCGUAGCUCAGAUGGUAGAGCACUCGCUUAGCACGCAAGAGGUACGGGACUUGAUACCCCGCGCGUCGA